rnacentral:rRNA from 1 species
CCUACGGGUGGCAGCAGUGAGGAAUAUUGGUCAAUGGCCGAGAGGCUGAACCAGCCAAGUCGCGUGAGGGAAGACGGCACUACGGGUUGUAAACCUCUUUUGUCGGGGAGCACAGCGCACCACGUGUGGUUCAUUGAGAGUACCCGAAGAAAAAGCAUCGGCUCACUCCGUGCCAGCAGCCGCGGUACUCCGGGGGAUUCGAACUUUAUCCGGAUUUAUUGGGUUUAAAGGGUGCUCAGGCGGAGGUGCAAGUCAGCGGUCAAAUUGCGGGGCUCAACCCCGUACUGCCGUUGACACUGCAUCCCUUGAGUGCGCGAGAAGUAGGCGGAAUGCGUGGUGUAGCGGUGAAAUGCAUAGAUAUCACGCAGAACUCCGAUUGCGAAGGCAGCAUACCGGCGCGCAACUGACGCUCAUGCACGAAAGCGUGGGUAUCGAACAGGAUUAGAUACCCUUGUAGUC